rnacentral:rRNA from 1 species
CAGUAGCCGCGGGAAUACGUAAGUGGCAAGCGUUGUCCGGAAUUAUUGGGCGUAAAGGGCUCGCAGGCGGUUUCUUAAGUCUGAUGUGAAAGCCCCCGGCUCAACCGGGGAGGGUCAUUGAAAACUGGGAAACUUGAGUGCAGAAGAGGAGAGUGGAAUUCCACGUGUAGCGGUGAAAUGCGUAGAGAUGUGGAGGAACACCAGUGGCGAAGGCGACUCUCUGGUCUGAACUGACGCUGAGGAGCGAAAGCGUGGGGAGCGAACAGGAUUAGAUACCCCAGUAGUCCCUGUCUCUUAUACA